AUGCUCCCUUUGGCAGCACAUAUACUGAAACUGGAAUGAUUCAGAGAUUAACAUGGCUCCUGCACAAGGAUUCCAUGCAAAUUCACAGAGCAUUCCAUAUUUAU